rnacentral:rRNA from 1 species
GAUGAACGCUGGCGGCGUGCUUAACACAUGCAAGUCGAGCGAGAAGUUUUGAAAAGAGUCAUCGGAUGAAAUUUAAAAUGGAAAGCGGCGGACGGGCGGGUAACGCGUAGGCAACCUGCCCCAUACAAAGGGAUAGCAUUUGGAAACGAAUAUUAAUACCUUAUGAAACUUAACUAGAGCAUGCUAGGUAGGUCAAGGAUUUAUCGGUAUGGGAUGGGCCUGCGUCUGAUUAGCUAGUUGGUGAGGUAACGGCUCACCAAGGCGACGAUCAGUAGCCGGCCUGAGAGGGUGAACGGCGACAUUGGAACUGAGACACGAUCCAAACGCCUACGGGAGGCGGCAGUGGGGAAUAUUGCAGAAGAGGGGAAACCCUGAUGCAGCAACGGCGCGUGAACGGUGAAGGCCUUGGGGUCGUAAAGUUCUGUUCUAGGUGAUGAAAGCGGAGAGAAACCUAGGAGAAGGCCCCGCCAAACUCCGU